CAGUUAUUCCCAAUAUUCCCUUCAUCUAAUGAAGUUCCUCCAAAUUUCAUGAUCCUUGUGACAAUCCACCCCAGACUAUGGUGAGAGACCCAGAGCUGCAGCAGUUUUGGUUGUGGUUAUUCUGACAUUGACCCGAAGGGAGCAAGAAUGUUUCUCAGGAGCCCUUGCCUGGACUCCCCUUCCAGACCACAACUUCCCCGGUGAUAUGGGACCCUGGAGGAGGAAGUCUACAAUGUGGGAGAGAUGAGUUACCAGGAAGAUAACCUUUGCACUCAGAAGGCUUGCGAACCCCAGAGGAGACUGUCUGUCUGAGAGAUCACCUUACCCACACUGUGGAAUAAAAAUAUUGCCUCUGACAUUAGGGAACUGGCAUUCCCCUCCUCCACUGUUUGAAAAGGUCAGAACUGGUCCUUCAAGCCAAAUAAGUUACUGCUUUUGAGGUGAAGCUGGUAAGACAGAUCUGGGGCCUGCAGGCAAAGUGGGUUCAGUUUCCGUUUGUAGUCAAGGCAACUUCUUCCAAAAGAGGCUUUCAACCUGCCUGGGCUUCUAGGCCCAGUUGAGAUCCAGUGUGACUCACAGGUUAUAACUAGUGGACCUUCCAUCCUCACGGAGCCUUGGCUACACCUACCACUUGGCCUGGGUCAGAAAUAAAACAAAAACUAAAACGAACAAACAAACAAACUUAAAAACAUAAAGGUAGAGAAAGAAAGAAAACCACCUCAGUUUGAAUCUGGGGUUGUCAUGUCUAGCUGUAUGACGUUGAGCAAGUCACUCGACUUCUCUGAGCCUCAGUUUCCACAGAUUAUAGGGCUGAGUGAGAUGAGGUUGUGACGGUGUUUGCACACUACAUUGGACAAGGGGCUGAGCAUCAUCAUAUGGCCAAAAGCCUGACAAACAACACUGGUCCCCACACAAGCAACUCUGGUCCCUCCUGAACCCACACCAAGCCAAGUGUUCUCCCUGUGGCAGAGCACCCGUGCACAAGAGACCUGGGUAGCUGGAAUCAAGGUUUCACCUCUCCGCUCAGACUUUCACUUUAUAUAUACCUUACUUUUUGCUCUGUAUGAAGUAUUUUAUUUCAGCCAUAAUUUUUUUCUAC
rnacentral:lncRNA from 1 species